AGACGGAGGGGGCUAGCGUUGUUCGGAAUUACUGGGCGUAAAGCGCGCGUAGGCGGCCUGGUAAGUCAAAGGUGAAAUCCCUCGGCUCAACCGAGGAACUGCCUUUGAAACUGCCACGGCUAGAGAAUGGGAGGGGGGUAGAAUUUCUGGUGUAGAGGUGAAAUUCGUAGAUAUCGGGAGGAACACCAGCGGCGAAGGCGGCUCUCUGGACGAUGACUGACGCUGAGACGCGAAAGCGUGGGGAGCAAACAGGAUUAGAUACCCCGGUAGUCC
rnacentral:rRNA from 1 species